AACGCACAUUGCGCCCGCCAGUAUUCUGGCGGGCAUGCCUGUUCGAGCGUCAUUUCAACCCUCAAGCCCCCGGGCUUGGCGUUGGGGAUCGGCACAACGGCCUCGCCAGAGGACGCGCCGGCCCCUAAAUCUAGUGGCGGUCUCGCUGCAGCCUCCUUUGCGUAGUAGCUAACACCUCGCAACUGGGACGCGGCGCGGCCAAGCCGUUAAACCCCCAACUUUUCUGAAUGUUGACCUCGGAUCAGGUAGGAAUACCCGCUGAACUUAA
rnacentral:misc_RNA from 1 species